rnacentral:rRNA from 1 species
AAAGGUAAGCUACUAAGAGCGAAUGGUGGAUGCCUUGACUGGUAAAGGCGAUGAAGGACGUACUAGACUGCGAUAAGCUACGGGGAGCUGUCAAGAAGCUUUGAUCCGUAGAUUUCCGAAUGGGGCAACCCAAUGUAUAGAGAUAUACAUUACCUAUAUAGGAGCGAACGAGGGGAAUUGAAACAUCUUAGUACCCUCAGGAAAAGAAAUCAAUAGAGAUUGCGUCAGUAGCGGCGAGCGAAAGCGCAAGAGGGCAAACCCAGUGCUUGCACUGGGGGUUGUAGGACUGCAAUGUGCAAGAGCUGAGUUUAGCAGAACAUUCUGGAAAGUAUAGCCAUAGAGGGUGAUAGUCCCGUAUGCGAAAAACAAAGCUUAGCUAGCAGUAUCCUGAGUAGGGCGGGACACGAGAAAUCCUGUCUGAAUCCGGGUCGACCACGAUCCAACCCUAAAUACUAAUACCAGAUCGAUAGUGCACAAGUACCGUGAGGGAAAGGUGAAAAGAACUGAGGUGAUCAGAGUGAAAUAGAACCUGAAACCAUUUGCUUACAAUCAUUCAGAGCCCUAUGUAGCAAUACAGGGUGAUGGACUGCCUUUUGCAUAAUGAGCCUGCGAGUUGUGGUGUCUGGCAAGGUUAAGCAAACGCGAAGCCGUAGCGAAAGCGAGUCUGAAUAGGGCGCUUAGUCAGAUGCUGCAGACCCGAAACGAAGUGAUCUAUCCAUGAGCAAGUUGAAGCUAGUGUAAGAACUAGUGGAGGACUGAACCCAUAGGCGUUGAAAAGCCCCGGGAUGACUUGUGGAUAGGGGUGAAAGGCCAAUCAAACUUCGUGAUAGCUGGUUCUCUCCGAAAUAUAUUUAGGUAUAGCGUUGUGUCGUAAUAUAAGGGGGUAGAGCACUGAAUGGGCUAGGGCAUACACCAAUGUACCAAACCCUAUCAAACUCCGAAUACCUUAUAUGUAAUCACAGCAGUCAGGCGGCGAGUGAUAAAAUCCGUCGUCAAGAGGGAAACAACCCAG